UACAGAGGUGGCAAGCGUUGUUCGGAAUUACUGGGCGUAAAGGGCGUGUAGGCGGCUUUUUUAAGUCAGACGUGAAAUCCCCCGGCUUAACCUGGGAACUGCGUCUGAUACUGGGAGCUAGAGUUCGGGAGAGGGAUGUAGAAUUCCAGGUGUAGCGGUGAAAUGCGUAGAUAUUUCGGAGGAAUACCGGUGGCGAAGGCGGCAUCCUGGACCGAAACUGACGCUUAAGCGCGAAAGCUAGGGGAGCAACGGGG
rnacentral:rRNA from 1 species